UACGUAGGGUGCGAGCGUUAAUCGGAAUUACUGGGCGUAAAGCGUGCGCAGGCGGUUGUGCAAGACAGAUGUGAAAUCCCCGGGCUUAACCUGGGAACUGCAUUUGUGACUGCACGGCUAGAGUGUGUCAGAGGGGGGUAGAAUUCCACGUGUAGCAGUGAAAUGCGUAGAUAUGUGGAGGAAUACCGAUGGCGAAGGCAGCCCCCUGGGAUAACACUGACGCUCAUGCACGAAAGCGUGGGUAGCAAACAGG
rnacentral:rRNA from 1 species